GCUGGGAAUGGUGGCACGUGCCUGUAGUCCCAGCUACUCGGGAGGCUAAGGUGGGAGGAUCGGCCCAGGAGUUCUGGGCUAUAUUGAUCAGGUGUCCACACUAAGUUUGGCAUCAAUAUGGCGACCUCCCAGGAGUGGGGAACCACAAGGUUGCCUAAGGAGGGGUGAUCUGGCCCAGGUCGGAAACGGAGCAGGUCAAAACUCCCAUGCUGAUCAGUAGUGGGAUCAUGCCUGUGAAUAGCCACUGCACUUCAGCCCGACAGCAUAGUAAGACCAUGUCUCU
rnacentral:SRP_RNA from 1 species